GUCCCUUGACAAUGGGUGAAGAGACACCUUAGUGGUGGUGUUCUUAUAUCAUUCAGGGGCAGAAAAGAUGGCAAUCCUUUUGUUUAUCCUAGCUUGAUGCUUGGCUUUAUGGCCAAAGCUGUCUUAUGCCUAGGACUCAUAA